rnacentral:tRNA from 1 species
GCUCGUGUAGCUCAGACGGUAGAGCGCAUCCUUGGUAAGGAUGAGGUCACCGGUUCAAGUCCGGUCACGAGCUCCA